CCCUAUGGGGUGCACCAGGCCGGGUUUGUCAGGACAAUCGAUCAAAAGGCAAUAUUCCAUGAGGCCUCCAUGUAGAUCUAUAGCGGUCUUUGGCUUUGCCGGCAACCCGGAGCAUUACCAAGAAAAAAGGCGGAGCCAAGGCUCCGCCUUUCAUAUGGGCAGUCUAUUAAUUCAGAUGCCUUUCUGGGCCAUGUAGUUGGCCAGGUCGGCGACACGGUUGGAGUAGCCCCACUCAUUGUCGUACCAGGUGACCACCUUGGCCAUGUUGCCCUGCAUGACCUGAGUAAACUCGGCGUCGAUGGUGGACGAGGCCGGGCAGCCCUUGAAGUCAAUGGAAACCAGAGGUUCCUCGGUAUAGUCCAUAAUACCCUUGAGUCACGAAUUGGCGGGGGGGC
rnacentral:rRNA from 1 species